rnacentral:rRNA from 1 species
UACGUAGGGUGCAAGCGUUAAUCGGAAUUACUAGGCGUAAAGCGUGCGCAGGCGGUUGUGCAAGACAGAUGUGAAAUCCCCGGGCUCAACCUGGGAAUUGCAUUUGUGACUGCACGGCUAGAGUGUGUCAGAGGGGGGUAGAAUUCCACGUGUAGCAGUGAAAUGCGUAGAGAUGUGGAGGAAUACCGAUGGCGAAGGCAGCCCCCUGGGAUAACACUGACGCUCAUGCACGAAAGCGUGGGGAGCAAACAGG